rnacentral:tRNA from 5 species
GCGGUCGUGGUGGAACGGCAGACACGCUACCUUGAGGGGGUAGUGCCCAUUGGGUGUGCGGGUUCAAAUCCCGCCGACCGCA